GACCGCUUGAAGCUCAUCAAGAGAAUGCCAAGAGUGUGCAAAGCAGUAAUCAAAGCAAAAGCUGUAGAUGGACCAGAUCAGUGCUGUACCAAGUUUCUGAAAGAACAAAUCCCUGUAAGCUUCAUAACAACAUAUAAAGUAACUUCAUUGUACAAAACCUGGAGUCAUCUUUACUAUACAGGACGGUCGUCAUAUGUGU